UACGGAGGGGGCUAGCGUUGUUCGGAAUUACUGGGCGUAAAGCGCACGUAGGCGGCUUUGUAAGUUAGAGGUGAAAGCCCGGGGCUCAACUCCGGAAUUGCCUUUAAGACUGCAUCGCUAGAAUUGUGGAGAGGUAAGUGGAAUUCCGAGUGUAGAGGUGAAAUUCGUAGAUAUUCGGAAGAACACCAGUGGCGAAGGCGGCCCGCUGGGCAGUGGCUGACGCUGAGGCGCGACAGCGUGGGGAGCAAACAGG
rnacentral:rRNA from 1 species